rnacentral:rRNA from 1 species
ACUUAAAUUGAAGAGUUUGAUCAUGGCUCAGAUUGAACGCUGGCGGCAGGCCUAACACAUGCAAGUCGAGCGGUAGCACAGAGAGCUUGCUCUCGGGUGACGAGCGGCGGACGGGUGAGUAAUGUCUGGGAAACUGCCUGAUGGAGGGGGAUAACUACUGGAAACGGUAGCUAAUACCGCAUAAUGUCGCAAGACCAAAGUGGGGGACCUUCGGGCCUCAUGCCAUCAGAUGUGCCCAGAUGGGAUUAGCUAGUAGGUGGGGUAACGGCUCACCUAGGCGACGAUCCCUAGCUGGUCUGAGAGGAUGACCAGCCACACUGGAACUGAGACACGGUCCAGACUCCUACGGGAGGCAGCAGUGGGGAAUAUUGCACAAUGGGCGCAAGCCUGAUGCAGCCAUGCCGCGUGUGUGAAGAAGGCCUUCGGGUUGUAAAGCACUUUCAGCGGGGAGGAAGGCGGUGAGGUUAAUAACCUCAUCGAUUGACGUUACCCGCAGAAGAAGCACCGGCUAACUCCGUGCCAGCAGCCGCGGUAAUACGGAGGGUGCAAGCGUUAAUCGGAAUUACUGGGCGUAAAGCGCACGCAGGCGGUCUGUCAAGUCGGAUGUGAAAUCCCCGGGCUCAACCUGGGAACUGCAUUCGAAACUGGCAGGCUAGAGUCUUGUAGAGGGGGGUAGAAUUCCAGGUGUAGCGGUGAAAUGCGUAGAGAUCUGGAGGAAUACCGGUGGCGAAGGCGGCCCCCUGGACAAAGACUGACGCUCAGGUGCGAAAGCGUGGGGAGCAAACAGGAUUAGAUACCCUGGUAGUCCACGCCGUAAACGAUGUCGAUUUGGAGGUUGUGCCCUUGAGGCGUGGCUUCCGGAGCUAACGCGUUAAAUCGACCGCCUGGGGAGUACGGCCGCAAGGUUAAAACUCAAAUGAAUUGACGGGGGCCCGCACAAGCGGUGGAGCAUGUGGUUUAAUUCGAUGCAACGCGAAGAACCUUACCUGGUCUUGACAUCCACAGAACUUGGUGCCUUCGGGAACUGUGAGACAGGUGCUGCAUGGCUGUCGUCAGCUCGUGUUGUGAAAUGUUGGGUUAAGUCCCGCAACGAGCGCAACCCUUAUCCUUUGUUGCCAGCGGUUAGGCCGGGAACUCAAAGGAGACUGCCAGUGAUAAACUGGAGGAAGGUGGGGAUGACGUCAAGUCAUCAUGGCCCUUACGACCAGGGCUACACACGUGCUACAAUGGCAUAUACAAAGAGAAGCGACCUCGCGAGAGCAAGCGGACCUCAUAAAGUAUGUCGUAGUCCGGAUUGGAGUCUGCAACUCGACUCCAUGAAGUCGGAAUCGCUAGUAAUCGUAGAUCAGAAUGCUACGGUGAAUACGUUCCCGGGCCUUGUACACACCGCCCGUCACACCAUGGGAGUGGGUUGCAAAAGAAGUAGGUAGCUUAACCUUCGGGAGGGCGCUUACCACUUUGUGAUUCAUGACUGGGGUGAAGUCGUAACAAGGUAACCGUAGGGGAACCUGCGGUUGGAUCACCUCCUUACCUUAAAGAA